rnacentral:rRNA from 1 species
CCCUUAGAUGUCCUGGGCCGCACGCGCGCUACACUGACAUGUUCAACAAGCCUCCUAGUUCGACAGGAUUUGGGAAAUCUUUGAACGCAUGUCGUGAUAGGGAUAGAUCAUUGCAAUUAUUGAUCUUGAACGAGGAAUUCCUAGUAAACGCGAGUCAUCAGCUCGCAUUGAUUACGUCCCUGCCCUUUGUACACACCGCCCGUCGCUACUGCCAACUGAGAUGGGUCCUGAAUUGUUAGGAACGCCCGUCAAGGGGCCUACCCGGUCCCUAGUGCGGUGACGAGAAUAACUGUAAAUGGCAUAUCUUGUAGGGAGUAAAAGUCGUAACA